ACACUUUGGUUCUGAAGCUGAAGAAGAGGCCCUGAAAAUGAGCUGUUACUCUAAGGUUUAAUGUUUUGGAGCAGGACCCUGUUCGGCCAGCAGGGGGCGCAAGCACAAAGAUGAUGGUCAAAAGUUAAGGGACUAAGAAUGGAUUCACGUUCAGAUAUUUACUAAAACAGAUGUCACUAACAUUCAUUUAAGAGGAAUUUGUUUUGCUUCAGAUAAGUUUUCUUCAGCGUUAUUGUAAACUUCUAAACAGGUUUUUUAAAAUGAUUUAUUUAUUCUGAAUAGUUGUAGAUGUUAGUUUUCCGCCAAGUUUUUAUACAUUUUUCAGAUUGACGAGGUGUGAAGAUGAUUGUUUUACCUGACCAGACCAGAAAAAACAAACAUGUUGGAUUAAGAAAUGUUUUCACACCCAACGAGGGUCCAGCAGGAGGUCAAAGUUGUAGGUAAAAACAAAACAGAAAAAUAGAUAUUUACAGUUCUUUAAACAAUAAUUAAACACUGAUUUGUUCAAAUUAAGCAUGAAGUGAAACCGUCUGCUCAAAAUAGUCCUUUGGUUAAAAGAGAGGCAACCAACAUAAUCCAAAACAUCGUUUGUCCUGCAGUGAACAAAGAUCCACCAUUUUCUGUCUUUGGAAGAUAAAGUCCUCUGGGUAAAUAUCUCAAACACAGAACUGAGGGCACAGAGGGACAGUUGUGGUUUGAGAGAUAAACUUUAACACUGAGCUCUAAAAUCUUUUCAAAUCUCAUAUUUCCAUAAACAGUGAAAAAAAUAUUCACCCUGAUGAUUGUUACACUUAUAGAUCAAGCUAUCUAGUUAUUCACUUUAUUGAUCGUGUGUACAACACUUUGAUUAACUGCUGUCUUCUUAAAGGUGCUUUAGAAAUAAACUUGACUUAAUCCUGAAAUCAUUGUGAUUCUGAGUUUGGCCAUCAUCGAGCAGCCCUAGUUAUGAUAAACACCUAAAGCCUUGAAUGACUUCCACCGCUGAUCAGAUAAAAAAUCCAAAGUUUCAGUAAAAGUUCAAACUCUCUUAAAAAAGGACCAAAAGUUCGACUCUUUUCUAAUAACUGAGCGGGAGCAGAGAGCGUGAUUCGCUCUUUUCUAAAUCUAAAGUGUGUUAAAAUGCGUCUUUGUGUUUACAGAGGUCUUUGGAGGGUGUUUAGGUUUGAGUCAGGAAUAAGGAAGGAUGUUUAAAUAAAAGAUUACUGAGUUUUCCUGUGAAACCGCAGACUAAAGGUUUGGAGACAUGCCUUAGGAACUGAGUUUGUCUUCAGGUAUGAUAAACACACUUUAGACUGAGAAGAAAAGUUUGAUUCUGGUGGGUUUGUGUCCUCCGGCUCUCUGCAGGUAAACCAGCUGUGAUGUUCAGUCCAGGUAAACCUCCACAGAGAGAACCAGACUGACUGACAGACAGCAGCUCCAUCCAUCCUCGCUCUGCAGCAGAUCCUCUUUCAGUCCAGGUCCCGUGUUUGUUGUCACUCCCCGCGGCCUACAAGCUAAAACGUUGUCUUUCACGUCUCUCCUGUCUAACUUUACCCCUCCCCCCCCUCAAAGCUUCUCCUCCCUCUGCUGUUUCUUCUCCAGCGUCGGCGCUCUGAAACGUGAGACCAUCCAUUAAGCCGGACAGGAAGGUCUUGACGGGAGGUCAGGCCCUCGUCUGCAGGGCACACUGCAGCAGGUCUGGUCAGAGCCAAGGUCAACACCGAGCGUGUGCGUGUGUGUGUGUGUGGACACGAAACCCAACAGACAUCACUCGAACAAUAAAAGAGACAGAAGAAGAAGAAGAAGAAGAGUCCAGCACGCCCCCCGCCGUCCUCCAGGUUUGAUAAAUGGUCUCUCUUUGGUGUUUAAAUGUGGGACACCUUUCUAAUCUCUCCAUCGGUGAUGCUCCGCCUGCAGGUCACACAAAUACUGACGAUACAGCCCUCCGCCAAACUCUUAGUUAUCAUAUAAACAACAUUAAUCAUGGAUCAGACGAGCAGGAUGGUGCGUGGCAGCGUCGGUGCCCCCAGCAUGUUUUAGAGUGGCACCACUCGAGAGGAACAAACCCUGAAACCCUCUGAAGAGAGAUUAAUGAGAACCCAGAACCCGCUCCGCACAAACCAGCGCUCUCUUUUUCAGGAGCGGAAUCAACAAACGAUCAAACCCGAUUUAUUGACUUUACACUUCUGAAAUGAUACUGUAGGAGAUUCUGACUACAUCAAGAUGAGGGAUUCCACCGCAUGCAGAUCCGCUCCGUUAGAUCAAAUACUCAAGCAUACAGCGCCCACCGGAUCCAACCGGUAUUACCGAUUUUUCUCAUGAAACUGGACGAGCUCUUACGUGUUUCACCGUGAGACAUAAAUGAGAUCAGCGCUGUAUUUUAACACCCUGGCUCCUCCCAUUAUCACGUGAAUUACAGUUCAGUAUAUUAACUUUAUUUUAUUUUGAAAAUUAAAUGGAUAUUUUACUCUGUAGCCGCAUUAAACUUCCACUCAUGCUGCACUGACAUGAUGAUUUGUGCUGCAACCUGAUAAAACUGAAACCUUGCGUAUCUAAUCGGGCCGCCGGAGCCGAUCCACAGCGGAAGUAUUGUUUGGAAUCACGCACAUUGAUUAUUAUGCUUGUGUUUUUGAUCAGGCAGCUGUUCUGUAUCCUGUGGAAUUUAGCCGUAAGGAUGUAUGCUGAUUUCGAGUUACCAUGGAAGUCAGAUAUCAGAGCUGAAAACGACGUCACACCCGAGUCCCCAGCGUUUCAGUCACCAAGUCGGACAAAAGCAAAAUCAGAGGCGGAAAGAAGAUGGCUACAUCUACGAAAAUUAUUUUAGUUAUUCGGACAAGGCAAGCGCUAAAAUAACUUCAGUAGAUGUAGCCAUCUUCUCUCCACCUCUGAUUUUCUUUUUCUGACUCCAGCAGGACGUCUGCAGCAGCGAUCCAGAGGAGCCUACAGCAUGACGGAGCUCAGAGACUCCCAGAAAAGACUGAGUAUCACGAGUCUUCAUGAGGAUUCAAAGUUCGUGUCAUGUGGGACGGGCAGAAGAAAUCCAGGUACUUCACUGUGUGGUCUCAGGUUUUACAACGUGGUGUGAAGCUCAAAGAGAAGCUGCGUCGUCUCUGGAGAGCAUGAGCGGAUAUUUACGAAAGCUUUUAAUUCUUAAUCUCCACUUGAGAGCCGUGAGGUUGAAUCCGGCGCCACACCCUGCGGAGGGUUAAAGCCGGAUUAUUUCCUGUUUAGAAAGACGGUCCAGCAGCAUUCGACAGAGGAAGGUGUGGACUUGUAAACUUUUGUUUCUCAUGAAAAUCUGCUGACCUUUCAGUCUUUAUAUCAACUUGAAAACCACGAACUCGUUCUGUUUGUUAAUCGGCUUCAUCGGCGUAGUUUGAAGGGCCGAGCUAAAAAAACCGAACAUAACUCACCGUCUCCUCCCGCCCAGAUUUUCCCAGCUGGUGAAGAAGUCAAAUUAAUGAUUCUAAUGAUUUUUAUGGGAGACGCGCAGCAGGAUUUAUAUGUGUUAUUGUCCGCCCUGACAGUUCAGGAUAAAUCUCUGUGGGUAGCAUCGGAUAAACUCUGCAUCAUCGUGUAUCUUCCCAGAAACAUUUUGUUUUUGACCCAGAAAGCAGCAGCAGUGGACGGAUAAAUGUGGAUCACAGGGUAAAUAUUUAGAUUUCUGGGACUGAUGGACGAGCCGAAGCCGUUCUCUUGGCUGGCCUUCCUCGCUGUCUCCCAUCCCAGGACACGGGAAACCAGUUAAAAAGACAUUUCCCAAACAUCCACGUCCA
rnacentral:lncRNA from 1 species